UGUCCCCGAUCUGGUGAACAGAGAGUUGGUGCUCUGUCAUCAGCCAGGGCCAAACCAACCCUGUUAUCCCAACUUGGCUUUUGGUCUACAUCCAUGCCUGGUUCAUGCCUUGGGCACAUUG
ensembl:snoRNA